CUCGCCGAAAGGCGAGCUAAUACCGCAUAUAACUCCUGGUGAGAAUCCGGGAAGUAAAAGCUCCGGCGCUACGAGAGGGGCCCGCGGCCGAUUAGCUUGUUGGUGGGGUAAUGGCCUACCAAGGCGACGAUCGGUAGCUGGUCUGAGAGGAUGGUACCCGCACACGGGGACUGAGAUACGGCCCCGACUCCUACGGGAGGCAGCAGCUAAGAAUCUUGCGCAAUGGGCGAAAGCCUGACGCAGCAAUUCCGCGUGGAGGACGAAGGCCCUCGGGUCGUAAACUCCUUUUUGCGAGGGAAGAAGUUCUGACGGUACCUCGCGAAUAAGCCACGGCUAACUACGUGCCAGCAGCCGCGGUAAUACGUAGGUGGCGAGCGUUGUCCGGAUUUAUUGGGCGUAAAGAGCCCGCAGGCGGCUUGGCAAGUUUCGAGUGAAAUCUCCCGGCUCAACUGGGAGGGCGCUCGGAAAACUGCCAGGCUUGAGGCAGGGAGAGGGAUGUGGAAUUCCCGGUGUAGUGGUGAAAUGCGUAGAUAUCGG
rnacentral:rRNA from 1 species